rnacentral:misc_RNA from 1 species
GAUGAAGAACGUAGCGAAAUGCGAUAAGUAAUGUGAAUUGCAGAACUCAGUGAAUCAUCGAAUCUUUGAACGCACAUUGCGCCCGCCAGUAUUCUGGCGGGCAUGCCUGUUCGAGCGUCAUUUCAACCAUCAAGCCCCCCGGCUUGUGUUGGGGACCUGCGGCUGCCGCAGGCCCUGAAAAGCAGUGGCGGGCUCGCUGUCACACCGAGCGUAGUAGAUCUCAUCUCGCUCAGGGCGUGCUGCGGGUUCCGGCCGUUAAACCACCUUCAUAACCCAAGGUUGACCUCGGAUCAGGUAGGAAGACCCGCUGAACUUAAGCAUAUCAAUAAGCGGAGGA